GGUCUCGUAGUACAAUGGAUAGUAUGUGGGUUUCCGGAACCCAAGAUACAGGUUCGAUCCCUGUCGAGACUACCA
rnacentral:tRNA from 1 species